rnacentral:rRNA from 1 species
UUGGUACGGGAGGCAGCAGGUGGGGAAUAUUGGACAAUGGACCAAAAGUCUGAUCCAGCAAUUCUGUGUGCACGAUGACGUUUUUCGGGUUGUAAAGUUCUUUCGGUAGCGAGGAAGGCAUUUAGUUUAAUAAACUAAGUGAUUGACGUUAACUACAGAAGAAGCACCGGCUAACUCCGUGCCAGCAGCCGCGGUAAUCCAA